UUUAAACGUUACAUUUUCAACGUUGAAUAAGCGUAUAAAUUUAAACGUAUCUUAUCUUCUCAAAAAAAUGCGUUUAUUAAACGUUGAAAAUAAGUACGCAAAUUAUCACUGUAAAAACGUCGCAAAGGUAAUGGUUUAUCAACGUUAGACAUUUGCUGCUUUUUCAACGAAUUUAAACAAUUUGAAAAACAACACUUAUUCAACGUUAUUUCAACGUUGGUUGAAAAUGUGCUAAUUAGAAAACGUUGAAAAAGUGUUCCUUUGCCAACGUUAAUAAAACGUUGACAAUGUUAAGGAAGUGGCACAUUGAAAAUUAUUGUCUCAAUAACUAGCCAUUACGAAAAUAAUUUGCCAUAAUGGAAAGGCAAGGAAAACUUAAUAGAAUGCAUGCAUAUGGUAUGAAGCAGAGGCAGUUGUUCCAUCUUGUUCGAAAAAAUAUGGAUGGUUAUUUUGGUCAACUUGUAUUCAUGAAAUGAAAGCUACCUAUAAUAAUUUUUCAAUCAUUGACUCCUGCAACAAACUUAGACUUAAAAGAGUUAAAGUAACUGGAGAUAAAGAAGUAUGUGCAGGAUUUAAUUUCACGACUUAAGAGGACUCCGAAGAAGAAUUAAAGUCCUGGUGGAUCAAAGAUCGAGGAAUGAUUUAGUUUUAACUGGUUUGCAUCUUAUGAACAAAGUACAUAAUAUGAUUUAAAUUGAUGAUUUAUAGUUACACCUAUUGAAAUUCUGUAUCUCAAUGAUAUCCUGGCUUAUCGAUACGAUAUCCUGUAAAUCCACUCACACACAUAAAUUUCACUCACACACGUAAAUCCUGUAAAUUCACUAACACACAUAAAUCUUAAAAAAGAUGUUUAUAUUUUUAUCUAUAAAUUGUAAAUUUUAUAUAAAUAAAUUGUA